UACGUAGGGGGCAAGCGUUAUCCGGAAUCAUUGGGCGUAAAGCGCGUGUAGGCGGUUCCGUAAGUCCGCUCUGAAAGCCCAGGGCUCAACCCUGGGAGGCGGGUGGAUACUACGGAACUGGAGUACGGAAGAGGAGAUUGGAAUUCCUGGUGUAGCGGUGAAAUGCGUAGAGAUGUGGAGGAACACCAGUGGCGAAGGCGACUCUUUGGCCUGUAACUGACGCUGAGGAGCGAAAGCGUGGGGAGCGAACAGG
rnacentral:rRNA from 1 species